UACAGAGGUCUCAAGCGUUGUUCGGAUUCAUUGGGCGUAAAGGGUGCGCAGGCGGCGGGGCAAGUCGGACGUGAAAUCUCGGGGCUUAACCCCGAAACUGCGUUCGAUACUGCCCUGCUUGAGGGCUGGAGAGGAGACUGGAAUUCCUGGUGUAGCAGUGAAAUGCGUAGAUAUCAGGAGGAACGCCAAUGGCGAAGGCAAGUCUCUGGACAGUUCCUGACGCUCAUGCACGAAGGCCAGGGGAGCAAACGGG
rnacentral:rRNA from 1 species